UACAGAGGUUUCAAGCGUUGUUCGGAUUCAUUGGGCGUAAAGGGUGCGUAGGCGGCGCGGUAAGUCGGGCGUGAAAUCUCGGGGCUUAACUCCGAAACUGCAUUCGAUACUGCCGUGCUUGAGGACUGGAGAGGAGACUGGAAUUUACGGUGUAGCGGUGAAAUGCGUAGAUAUCGUAAGGAAGACCAGUGGCGAAGGCGGGUCUCUGGCCCGGUACUGACGCUGAGGUGCGAAAGCGUGGGGAGCAAACAGG
rnacentral:rRNA from 1 species